AACGAACGCUGGCGGCAUGCCUAACACAUGCAAGUCGAACGAGACCUUCGGGUCUAGUGGCGCACGGGUUCGUAACGCGUGGGAACCUGCCCUUAGGUUCGGAAUAACUCCCCGAAAGGGGUGCUAAUACCGGAUAAUGUCUUCGGACCAAAGAUUUAUCGCCUUUGGAUGUGCCCGCGUUGGAUUAGCUAGUUGGUAGGGUAAAAGCCUACCAAGGCGACGAUCCAUAGCUGGUCUGAGAGGAUGAUCGGCCACACUGGAACUGAGACACGGCCCAGACUCCGACGGGAGGGAGCAGAAGGGAAUCUGCACGAAUGAGCGAAAGCCUGACGGAGCAACGCCGCGUGAGGGAUGAAGGUCGUCGGAUCGUAAAACUCUGUUAUUAAGUAAGAACAAAGGUGUAAGUAACUAUGCACGUCUUGACGGUACCUAAUCAGAAAGCCACGGCUAACUACGUG
rnacentral:rRNA from 1 species